GAUGAACGCUAGCGGCAGGCCUAAUACAUGCAAGUCGAACGGUGUAGCAAUACACAGAGGCGCACGGGUGCGUAACACGUAUGCAACCUACCUAUCAUUGGGGGAUAGCCUUUGGAAACGGAGAUUAAUACCGCAUAAGACAGUAACAUGGCAUCAUGUAGCUGUUAAAGCUUCGGCGAUGAUAGAUGGGCAUGCGUCCAAUUAGUUAGUUGGUGAGGUAACGGCUCACCAAGACGAUGAUUGGUAGGGGAUCUGAGAGGAUAAUCCCCCACACUGGCACUGAGAUACGGGCCAGACUCCUACGGGAGGCAGCAGUAGGGAAUAUUGGGCAAUGGACGGAAGUCUGACCCAGCCAUGCCGCGUGCAGGAUGAAGGCGUUAUGCGUUGUAAACUGCUUUUUUAUAGGAAGAAGGAGACCUUGCGAGGUUUGGUGACGGUACUAUAAGAAUAAGCACCGGCUAACUCCGUGCCAGCCGCCGCGGUAAAAC
rnacentral:rRNA from 1 species